AUGAAAGGAGGCAACGCGAUGGGCCCUGAUUGUAUCCCCAUUGAGGUGUGGAAAGGUCUCGGGGACAUAGUGAUAGUAUGGCUAACCAAGCUUUUCAACCUCAUUUUUCGGGCAAACAAGAUGCCAGAAGAAUGGAGACGGAGUAUAGUAGUACCAAUCUUCAAGAACAAGGGGGAUGUUCAGAGUUGUACUAAUUACCGUGGAAUUAAGCUGAUGAGCCAUACAAUGAAGCUAUGGGAGAGAGUCAUUGAGCACCGCUUAAGAAGAAUGACAAGCGUGACCAAAAAUCAGUUUGGUUUCAUGCCUGGGAGGUCGACCAUGGAAGCCAUUUUCUUGGUACGACAACUUAUGGAGAGAUAUAGGGAGCAAAAGAAGGGCUUGCAUAUGGUGUUCAUUGACUUGGAGAAGGCCUAUGAUAAGAUACCGCGGAAUGUCAUGUGGUGGGCCUUGGAGAAACACAAAGUCCCAGCAAAGUACAUUACCCUUAUCAAGGACAUGUAG
rnacentral:rRNA from 1 species